rnacentral:rRNA from 1 species
UACGUAGGGUGCAAGCGUUGUCCGGAAUUAUUGGGCGUAAAGAGCUCGUAGGCGGUCUGUCGCGUCUGCUGUGAAAACCUAGGGCUUAACUCUGGGCGUGCAGUGGGUACGGGCAGGCUAGAGUGCGGUAGGGGAGACUGGAAUUCCUGGUGCAGCGGUGAAAUGCGCAGAUAUCAGGAGGAACACCGGUGGCGAAGGCGGGUCUCUGGGCCGUAACUGACGCUGAGGAGCGAAAGCAUGGGGAGCGAACAGGAUUAGAACUACCGUUGUA